CUUAGUGGUGGGGUGACUGCGUACCUUUUGUAUAAUGGGUCAGCGACUUAUAUUCUGUAGCAAGGUUAACCGAAUAGGGGAGCCGGAGGGAAACCGAGUCUUAACCGGGCGUUAAGUUGCAGGGUAUAGACCCGAAACCCGGUGAUCUAGCCAUGGGCAGGUUGAAGGUUGGGUAACACUAACUGGAGGACCGAACCGACUAAUGUUGAAAAAUUAGCGGAUGACCUGUGGCUGGGGGUGAAAGGCCAAUCAAACCGGGAGAUAGCUGGUUCUCCCCGAAAGCUAUUUAGGUAGCGCCUCGUGAACUCAUCUCCGGGGGUAGAGCACUGUUUCGGCUAGGGGGCCAUCCCGGCUUACCAACCCGAUGCAAACUGCGAAUACCGGAGAAUGUUAUCACGGGAGACACACGGCGGGUGCUAACGUCCGUCGUGAAGAGGGAAACAACCCAGACCGCCAGCUAAGGUCCCAAAGUCAUGGUUAAGUGGGAAACGAUGUGGGAAGGCCCAGACAGCCAGGAUGUUGGCUUAGAAGCAGCCAUCAUUUAAAGAAAGCGUAAUAGCUCACUGGUCGAGUCGGCCUGCGCGGAAGAUGUAACGGGGCUAAACCAUGCACCGAAGCUGCGGCAGCGACACUCAGGUGUUGUUGGGUAGGGGAGCGUUCUGUAAGCCUGCGAAGGUGGCCUGUGAGGGUUGCUGGAGGUAUCAGAAGUGCGAAUGCUGACAUAAGUAACGAUAAAGCGGGUGAAAAGCCCGCUCGCCGGAAGACCAAGGGUUCCUGUCCAACGUUAAUCGGGGCAGGGUGAGUCGACCCCUAAGGCGAGGCCGAAAGGCGUAGUCGAUGGGAAACGGGUUAAUAUUCCCGUACUUGGUGUUACUGCGAAGGGGGGACGGAGAAGGCUAUGUUGGCCGGGCGACGGUUGUCCCGGUUUAAGCGUGUAGGUGUGUGUUCCAGGUAAAUCCGGUUCACUUUAACACUGAGGCGUGAUGACGAGGCACUACGGUGCUGAAGCAACAAAUGCCCUGCUUCCAGGAAAAGCCUCUAAGCAUCAGGUAACAUCAAAUCGUACCCCAAACCGACACAGGUGGUCAGGUAGAGAAUACCAAGGCGCUUGAGAGAACUCGGGUGAAGGAACUAGGCAAAAUGGUGCCGUAACUUCGGGAGAAGGCACGCUGACACGUAGGUGAAGUGAUUUACUCAUGGAGCUGAAGUCAGUCGAAGAUACCAGCUGGCUGCAACUGUUUAUUAAAAACACAGCACUGUGCAAACACGAAAGUGGACGUAUACGGUGUGACGCCUGCCCGGUGCCGGAAGGUUAAUUGAUGGGGUCAGCGCAAGCGAAGCUCCUGAUCGAAGCCCCGGUAAACGGCGGCCGUAACUAUAACGGUCCUAAGGUAGCGAAAUUCCUUGUCGGGUAAGUUCCGACCUGCACGAAUGGCGUAAUGAUGGCCAGGCUGUCUCCACCCGAGACUCAGUGAAAUUGAACUCGCUGUGAAGAUGCAGUGUACCCGCGGCAAGACGGAAAGACCCCGUGAACCUUUACUAUAGCUUGACACUGAACAUUGAGCCUUGAUGUGUAGGAUAGGUGGGAGGCUUUGAAGUGUGGACGCCAGUCUGCAUGGAGCCGGCCUUGAAAUACCACCCUUUAAUGUUUGAUGUUCUAACGUGGACCCGUGAUCCGGGUUGCGGACAGUGUCUGGUGGGUAGUUUGACUGGGGCGGUCUCCUCCUAAAGAGUAACGGAGGAGCACGAAGGUUGGCUAAUCCUGGUCGGACAUCAGGAGGUUAGUGCAAUGGCAUAAGCCAGCUUGACUGCGAGCGUGACGGCGCGAGCAGGUGCGAAAGCAGGUCAUAGUGAUCCGGUGGUUCUGAAUGGAAGGGCCAUCGCUCAACGGAUAAAAGGUACUCCGGGGAUAACAGGCUGAUACCGCCCAAGAGUUCAUAUCGACGGCGGUGUUUGGCACCUCGAUGUCGGCUCAUCACAUCCUGGGGCUGAAGUAGGUCCCAAGGGUAUGGCUGUUCGCCAUUUAAAGUGGUACGCGAGCUGGGUUUAGAACGUCGUGAGACAGUUCGGUCCCUAUCUGCCGUGGGCGCUGGAGAACUGAGGGGGGCUGCUCCUAGUACGAGAGGACCGGAGUGGACGCAUCACUGGUGUUCGGGUUGUCAUGCCAAUGGCACUGCCCGGUAGCUAAAUGCGGAAGAGAUAAGUGCUGAAAGCAUCUAAGCACGAAACUUGCCCCGAGAUGAGUUCUCCCUGAGACUUUAGGUCUCCUGAAGGAACGUUGAAGACGACGACGUUGAUAGGCCGGGUGUGUAAGCGCAGCGAUGCGUUGAGCUAACCGGUACUAAUGAACCGUGAGGCUUAACCUUACA
rnacentral:rRNA from 1 species